CGCUGCCGCUGCCCGCCAACAGUGCAUUAACGCUGGAUACAAAACUGCCGUAACACGGGCUGUGCUCCGCGGAGGGAGACGGCGACGACUUGUGCUCCGUGGAGGCCGGGGAGCUGUGCAGGCUAGGCGGGGAAGAGCUGAGGAGGCUGGCGGUGUCGGAGAGCUUGUUGCUCGGGCUGUCCUCGGACUUCACCGGGAGAGAGGUGCUGUCAGGGCCGGUUAUGUCCGAUCUCCUCUUCCUUUUUCGCCUGAAGUUGCCGUUGUCAAACAUUUUCUCACAGUUUGGGUCGAGCGUCCAGUAGUUCCCUUUACCUGCAAGACAAGAAAAAGGGUUAGAAUUAAAUUCCCAAGUUCUCCAAGCUGCACAUGGAAAUUUUAACUUUACACGUGUAAUAAAGACAACAACUGACACUUGUUACAGUUUCAUUUACAUAAAUUGCACAUUUUCAAUUAAAGAAUCUUUGAAACAUAACAUGUUAAUAUAUUCAUCCCAAACUCACCAGGGUCAUCCUCGUCCCGUGCCACUUUUUUGAAACAGUCGUUCAGAGACAAGUUAUGCCGGAUUGAAUUCUGCCACCCAGCUUUGCUCUUCUUGUAGAAAGGGAAGUUGUCAGCCACAUACUGAUAGAUCUGACUCAGGGUUAACUUUUUAUCCGUGGCGUUCUGUAUGGCCAUGGCUAUCAGAGCUGAGUAGGAGUAAGGUGGUCUGACCAUCUUGAAGAGCUCCUGCUGACUGGAUAUGGACAGCCAGCCCAGGUCUGCUCCACCAAACCCGGUUGGAGGAGGCGGUAAGAACUGCCUCUGGUUGGAACCGUAUCCAGACUGGAUGUAGGAGGUGCCGUUGUUCCCAGAGAGAUACGGAGAUGAGUUGAUGCCAGGACCGUUCAGCCACAGGUAGGGGUUCGCGGACGGUGAGGUGUACUCUCCAAGGCCGUAGUUGGAGGGGUGUGUGGGCGGCCUCUGAGGGUGGUGGUGGUGCAGGUUCUGUUGGUACACACCGUAGUUAUCGCAGUACACGGCCAUGUCCAGGAGCUCUUGCGCGCUGUGGUGCUGAAUGGGGCUGGUCUGCUGGUUGGCUGGUUGGUGUCCAAAAGUGUUCAUAAUCCGCACCGGACCUAAUUCCCAAAACUUGAUUUCAGAGUGAGUCUCUCCCUCAGGACUGAGCUCAACCUCAGAGGGAGGAGUAUUUAUGCGCAGCGCGGAGACGCUACAGGUAGCCCAUUGAAGAAAAGUUAAGACAUGGUCACACCCCUCUUUAUGUCCCACUACAGAGCCACAUCUCCAUAUCAAUAUGCAUCGAUACCACAUCUGACUGCUGGCCGCGUGGUAUUUCAAGGUAGGCCUAUAUUUUCAAGCAAGGCACGAUCACACUUAUAUUGCUCGUGCGUAAUUGCGCAUUGGAGCUGGAAUUGAAAACGACAGGAAAUAAGUUAAAAACAAGUUAGAAGGAAUACCAAUGAAGACAAUGCGAAGGAAAAAAUACAAUGACAAUGUGAUUAAGUACAUAUGAUGCUUUAUUAAAGUUAAAAUAAAACAAAAUCAUUUUAUUUUAACUUUGGUAAAGUUGGUUAACUUAGGUAAAUGCAGGGUUAAUUGAGGGCCUCUACUUUAUCAGCACAACUGCUCAUUGUUGUAAAAAAAAUAAAUAAUAAUUAUACACCCUAAUUUAAAUAGCACGAUUAACGUGUGUUUGAGCACUGAUUGUGAGCAUGUCAGAACUUGUUGAACUUUCUGCAUCAAAGUGUCAAACCAAAACAACGAAGAGCCGCGUGCGCUUGUAAAAAGCAACCCUCUCUAAAAGAAAUUGAUUUAGUAAUAAACACUUUAGAAGUGCUGCAAGUUUAGUGUCAACAAGUGACUCGUGGCUCGCAGAAUUUUUUUUCAAAAAGACCUGACGGAUUUGUCAUUAAGCUUACGUCAUCCACACACCGUUUUUUUUGUUUUCUCUUUAUCUUUUUAUUUUACAAAAUGACAUUUUCACAGGUUAACUUAUUCCAACUUGAUGGAUAAUAACUUAAAAAGAGUUAUUAGAAAUUACAAAAAAAUACCAAUACUUUUUGUGACAAUAACUGUUAAAUGAGGAUUUGAGGAUGAGAAAGUAAUAGGAUUACUUUUACUAAAUCCCUUAAACAUGCUUCUUGGAUUCUGCAAGUAAGAGUGGAAAGAACAAUAGGCUUACUUUCAUUUUUAUUUUUUCUUUAAUCUUCAUCCCUCUGUGGAGUUCAUUUUAAAGGCAAUAACCUGCUAAAAGUGUUUUUCCCCGAACAGCAUGACCCUGGUUUUUAGAGCCGACCUCUGGCAGGCAAAUGGUCCCAGUUUCGAUUGCAGGGAAAAGGAAGAGACACCAACAAUCUACCGAUACUUCAGUCUCCCUGUGUGUUUGCUGCUGGACUCCUGCACUAAUCGGCACAAAAUUCCUCCUCUCCAUGACCUUGAUGUAAUUGUUUGGCUCGGAGGUGUUGUCCCGACCACAGGCCGUACAGCGGUGCAGUCCACAGGGGGGAGUGGCAUUUAACCCCCACAUGAAAACAACACAACCUGUUAGGUGUCUAACAGCCAGUACAGCUAAUUACUGCUGACUGCUGAGUGGACUUCUGAGUGUCAACCAAACCCAGCAAAGACUGUCUGAUCCUCCUCAGAGUAUAAACAUUGUUUUAUAUAGAAAUGGUCAUGCAUUGAUACAUUAUAUUCUCCCCACGUUUUCCCAUCAUGUUGAGUUCAUUUCUUUAUUUUUCAUUGAGAUUUUGACUUGGUGUCAGAUCAUUAUAAAUCACAUCCUCAAAGUUAGAAAAGUACAAAACAAAAUAGAAAAAUGUUGAUAUUACCUUUUUGGAUGGGCAACAGCAGCAGAAGAAAAAGAGAUCUUGAGAAACAACAGCGAUGGUCUUGUUCUCAAAGGUAAACCAGCAGUGGUAUCUUCAAGAUCUUGAGAA